CUCCAAGAUCAUUGUUUGUAAAGCGACACUUUGCUGAUAUUUAUCGAUUGCUAAUUAUUAGCAAUAAAAACCACCGUACCUCGAAUUACAAGAUUAUUGCCAUAGCAACAGUAUGAUUGCUACGCCUUUCGGUUUCAACAAACGAUAAGCCCAAAAAUCUAAAUAGGCUAAAUGUGAUGUGAGACUGAUAAUAGUUUAGACAGACUGCGCGUGAGAUGACGACGUUUGGUGACGCCGAAGAUUUCGCUACUUGUGGCGUUUGUUUGUACGAAUACGACGAAGAAAUUCGGAAACCCAAAUUCCUUCCGUGUUUCCACACCGUUUGCCUCGAGUGCAUCAGGAAAUUAUUAAGUCAAAGUCAAGGCAAGAAAUCCAUUACAUGCCCGUUCUGCCGAAACAUUAGCACCGAUCCUAGGAAGGACAUCAAGGAAAAAUGGAUUCUUCCCAACAAUAACCACGCACUCCACAUAAUCAAACAAAAGAGACAAAUUGAAGAACUCACUUCGAUUGUUGUUAAUCCUCUGAUGCAUAACAAAAAUGUGGAUGCCUUUUUCAACUCACUAGAAGAAAUGUUGAAACUGAAAGACUCUAGGACGACCAAAAUGGCCAUGGCUAUUCAAGAGCGCAAAAAGGUUGAAAAGCAACUGGACUUGAUUAUGAAAUCCAUCGAAACUGCUAGAGAACAAGUCCAGAAACUCCAGGACGAGAAUAAUCUUUGCCUAGCGGAAAUGAUUUCAGUAAUGGAAAACGACGUGAAGAAAACUGACCAAACAAAUCACCAAGACGGUCCGAAAAGGUCUUUGGUAUUUUCAGAGUUAAAAUCUUUAUUCGACGAUUCAACUGCGGCGGAUUCGACCGAGACGCUGAAACUGAAAAUGGAAAAAUCCGUCGAACUGUGUGAACAGAAACUCGAUGAAGCGACGGCCAUUGCUUCAGAGUAUGAACUCCGGAGUAAAACAAAAAUUGCCGUUUACCUGUACGAUGAAUACGACCACCCGAUCCAGACGCUACCCGUAUUCUUUGAAGGAUUCCGCUUCCAACCUUUCAAUCCGUCUCUAUUAAAUGGAUUCCAGCAGGAUUUGAUGCUACUCUCGCACGCCGUAUUCUCCUUGUUGAAGAAGCAAAAUAUCUCUAUUAAAAAUGAACAGCCAAUUGCAGGUGCUUCCAAGUUAACGUCUUUGCCUCCAACAAUAUCCAACAAGAGCAAAUUUGUCUUGGGAGAUCUGUCGUCCAAGUUUAUUCUAAGACUAUUUAAAUCGGGUAGGUCGACAGGUGAAAUCCACAUCCGUCCAGCACCUACAUUUCAUCCUGCGUUUGUGCAAAAGUUGGGUGAUUUUUGUUACAAGACUCAGAAGAAAUUUUCUACUGGUAUUGACAAGGCUCUUUCAGAGGUGUUUGUCUUAUUUUCGAUGACACACCCACUAUUUCAACCGGAAGUUCCUAGUAUGAUUGGUCAUUGCUCCAACGAAGAUGGCAGUUACGACCCUUUAUUUAACUAUACAGCUGAAGAUAUCCAUGAUGUAGGUUUUACCUUAGUUCAGACAUCGGCUGGCAAAGUUAUCGGUUGGAGCUUCAUUUUUGUAUUGGAAGAGUAUGAGCAUUUCAUCAAACGUGAUAAUUUGCAUGAAAAUGUAUUGGAUAAUGUUUUAUUUGGUCGAGUUGUUCAUAAUAAUAUGUUGGAAGCUAUGACGCAACUUAGCAAAAGUAAAAAAUCAGAACGAAUAGAAUACAGCAUGACUCUGGAAUCGCAAUAAUCCCAAUGAAGUUUAACGGAAAUACGGAAUGUAUUAUACUUUGAUUAAAUAAAAUGAUAAUGUAUUAUUAAUGCUCAAAACAUUUCUUAACUAAACUGAUAAAUUAAAUUUUUUAAAGGUGAUCGAAUUUUCUAAUUCAAAUUAUCCAGAGGCGCCACUGUCGCUAAUCCAUUCCAUUCCGAUCCAUUCUGAUUUGUGAACCCAUCCCCAUUCCAUUGCCGCCAUUGCCAUUUUUCAGUUCCUCCACAACAGACAUUCGUAGUCUGUGGUUCCUCCAAAACUUCCAUCUUUGAAAAAAAAUCACGAGUGUGGUGUGGUUUUAAAGUUUCAAUAACAUUUUAUAUCUUUAUAAUAUUUUGUUGCAUUUUUGAGUUCACUUAUUGGAUAUCAAGUGGCUACAAUUUUCGUAUGAAAAUUUAAGUUGUAUGGUCAAGGGAAUCAACAAUAAUUGAAGUUAUGUCGAUAUCAUCAUCAAUGUCUCUCGAUGAUGACGAGGAUAUUGCCGAAUUCGUGAAGUGUAGAAUUUGUAUACGAGAGUAUAAUGACAUAGAUAGAAAACCCAAGUUCCUGCCAUGUUCUCACACCCUUUGCCUUGAAUGCAUCAACAAAAUUUCAAAUGGGGAUUUUAUAAUCAUGUGUCCAUUCUGUCGGAAAGCUUGUGAAAUCCUGGAACUGCCAAAUAAUGUGUAUGCACUCCAAAUGCUCAAGCAAGAAAAGGAAAAGAAAAUUGGAAAAUUGUCAACAGAUUUGCUGGCUAUUACUGAACGUUCAUUGAAAAAUAUGUUCAUGGUUCAUAAAAGAAUUGAUGAUCAACUGGCUAAGACUAUGUCUUCAAUCAAUCUUGCUGGAGAGGAAAAUCGAAAACUUGUAGAAGAAAACAACUCAAACCUAACUAAAAUGAUUUCUCUCAUGGAAUUACUUAAAAAACAAUCCAUGAUCUCUCCCAACAGUGUGCCAACCGAGCUGUUCUUUUCAGGAAAUCUGCAUUCCAUGUUUAUACUCCGAUUGUACCAGUCAGGUAGAUUAAAAGGUGAAAUUCACAUCUGCCCUGUACCAACAUUUUAUCCAGACUUUGUGCAGAAACUUGGGGAAUUUUGUUACAGAUCCCCCAAGGAGUUUUGCAGUUCUGUUGACAAGGCCGUGGCUGGAGUCUUCGUUCUUUUUCCAAUGCUACACCCAGAGUUCCGACCCGUGGUUCCAAGUAUGACUGAGCAUAUGGAUUCCUGGACAGCAGCAGCUAAGGAUGUUGAUGAGGUCGGGAUCACCAUGGUUAAAGCGUCGGGUAAUAAAAUUACCGACUGGAGUUUGGUCUUUAUACUGGAAGAUGACGAAGAUUUUCAAAUGCACGAGAAUUUGCCACAAACAGUGACGAACAAUGAGGUCUUUGGUCGUGUUAUUCACCACCACAUGCUGGAACCUUUAGUCAGACUCAGUCUGACUAGCAAGUCUGACAGAGAGAACUACGUCAUGACUCUGGAAUCUCAAUAACAACCUAGAUUCACAAGAAAUACUACCUUUGCCUAUGAAGCCAAUAAUCGGUACGUGAUGUAAAGAUGUUCUUUAUCAAAAUAAUGAAAGUAGCUGACUUAGAAAUCAUCAAUCAAGAAGUGGACAUUUAAUGGUAUCGUUUAAAAGUAUCAACUUUUAUCAAUGAAACAAUCUGUAUUAAGAAAUUGAUUUUUUGUCAUACACUUAAUUGCUUUUGUCAA
rnacentral:misc_RNA from 1 species